AGUGAACGCUGGCGGUAGGCCUAACACAUGCAAGUCGAACGGCAGCACAGUAAGAGCUUGCUCUUACGGGUGGCGAGUGGCGGACGGGUGAGGAAUACAUCGGAAUCUACUUUUUCGUGGGGGAUAACGUAGGGAAACUUACGCUAAUACCGCAUACGACCUACGGGUGAAAGCAGGGGAUCUUCGGACCUUGCGCGAUUGAAUGAGCCGAUGUCGGAUUAGCUAGUUGGCGGGGUAAAGGCCCACCAAGGCGACGAUCCGUAGCUGGUCUGAGAGGAUGAUCAGCCACACGGGAACGGAAACACGGUACAGACUCCGAAGGGAGGCAGCAGUGGGGAAUAUUGGACAAUGGGCGCAAGCCUGAUCCAGCCAUACCGCGUGGGUGAAGAAGGCCUUCGGGUUGUAAAGCCCUUUUGUUGGGAAAGAAAAGCAGCAGGUUAAUACCCCGCUGUUCUGACGGUACCCAAAGAAUAAGCACCGGCUAACUUCGU
rnacentral:rRNA from 1 species